GUGCAAACUCGAUCAUUAACUCUGCACGGUAUUGUAGAAGUGAGAAGAACCAGGUUUGCUAAAGUGAUUGUGGUGACAGGAAUGUAUCAGCCUCAGCAUCUGCAGUGUUUGCUUUGUUUUCUCAGCACCUAU
rfam:Erinaceus europaeus unplaced genomic scaffold scaffold00369, whole genome shotgun sequence